rnacentral:rRNA from 1 species
AACGAACGCUGGCGGCACGCCUAACACAUGCAAGUCGAACGCCUGGUAGCAAUACCGGGAGUGGCGGACGGGUGAGUAACGCGUGGGAACCUGCCUUGUGGUGCGGGACAACCCCGGGAAACCGGGGCUAAUACCGCAUGAUCCCCCUGGCAACGGGGGGUAAAGAUUUAUCGCCAUGAGAGGGGCCCCGCGUCGGAUUAGGUAGUUGGUGGGGUAACGGCCUACCAAGCCUUCGAUCCGUAGCUGGUCUGAGAGGANGGCCAGCCACACUGGGACUGAGACACGGCCCAGACUCCUACGGGAGGCAGCAGUGGGGAAUCUUGGACAAUGGGGGCAACCCUGAUCCAGCGAUGCCGCGUGGGUGAUGAAGGCCUUC